UACGUAGGGUGCAGGCGUUAAUCGGAAUUACUGGGCGUAAAGCGUGCGCAGGCGGCUCCUUAAGUCAGAUGUGAAAUCCCCGGGCUUAACCUGGGAACUGCGUUUGAAACUGGGGAGCUCGAGUGUGGAAGAGGGGGGUGGAAUUCCAGGUGUAGCAGUGAAAUGCGUAGAGAUCUGGAGGAACACCGAUGGCGAAGGCAGCCCCCUGGGCUAACACUGACGCUCAUGCACGAAAGCGUGGGGAGCAAACAGGAUUAGAGUACC
rnacentral:rRNA from 1 species